CCUACGGGUGGCAGCAGUGAGGAAUAUUGGUCAAUGGGCGAGAGCCUGAACCAGCCAAGUCGCGUGAAGGAUGACGGAUCUAUGGUUUGUAAACUUCUUUUAUAUGGGAAUAAAGUGAGGAACGCGUUCCUUUUUGUAUGUACCAUAUGAAUAAGCAUCGGCUAACUCCGUGCCAGCAGCCGCGGUAAUACGGAGGAUGCGAGCGUUAUCCGGAUUUAUUGGGUUUAAAGGGUGCGUAGGUGGUUAAUUAAGUCAGCGGUGAAAUUUUGUGGCUCAACCCUAAAAUUGCCGUUGAAACUGGUUGACGUGAGUGUAUUUGAGGUAGGCGGAAUGCGUGGUGUAGCGGUGAAAUGCAUAGAUAUCACGCAGAACUCCGAUUGCGAAGGCAGCUUACUAGACUAUAACUGACGCUGAAGCACGAAAGCGUGGGGAUCAAACAGGAUUAGAUACCCUGGUAGUC
rnacentral:rRNA from 1 species